rnacentral:miRNA from 1 species
GCAGACACAUUCCAGCCAAUCAGCAGCAGACCCUCCCUCCCAGACCCUCCCACCUCCCGGACAGCAUCCAUUUUACAUUCAUUGUGAAGCUGCAUUCUUAGUGAGCUGUCCAGGAGGUGGGAGGGUCUGGGAGGGAGGGUCUGCUGCUGAUUGGCUGGAAUGUGUCUG